rnacentral:rRNA from 1 species
CACGUGUAGCGGUGAAAUUGCGUAGAGAUGUGGAGGAACACCAGUGGCGAAGGCGACUCUCUGGUCUGUAACUGACGCUGAGGAGCGAAAGCGUGGGGAGCGAACAGGAUUAGAUACCCUGGUAGUCCACGCCGUAAACGAUGAGUGCUAAAUGUUAGGUGGUUUCCGCCCCUUAGUGCUGCAGCUAACGCAUUAAGCUCUCCGCCUGGGGAGUACGGUCGCAAGACUGAAACUCAAAGGAAUUGACGGGGGCCCGCACAAGCGGUGGAGCAUGUGGUUUAAUUCGAAGCAACGCGAAGAACCUUACCUGGUCUUGACAUCCUGUGACGAUCCUAGAGAUAGGACGUCCCCUUCGGGGGCACAGUGACAGGUGGUGCAUGGUUGUCGUCAGCUCGUGUCGUGAGAUGUUGGGUUAAGUCCCGCAACGAGCGCAACCCUUGAUCUUAGUUGCCAGCAUUC